rnacentral:rRNA from 1 species
AACGAACGCUGGCGGCAGGCUUAACACAUGCAAGUCGAGCGCCCCGCGAGGGGAGCGGCAGACGGGUGAGUAACGCGUGGGAAUCUACCCAUCUCUACGGAAUAACGCAUGGAAACGUGUGCUAAUACCGUAUACGUCCUUCGGGAGAAAGAUUUAUCGGAGAUGGAUGAGCCCGCGUUGGAUUAGCUAGUUGGUGGGGUAAAGGCCUACCAAGGCGACGAUCCAUAGCUGGUCUGAGAGGAUGAUCAGCCACACUGGGACUGAGACACGGCCCAGACUCCUACGAGAGGCAGCAGUGGAGAAUAAUGGACAAUGGGCGCAAGCCUGAUCCAGCCAUGCCGCGUGAGUGAUGAAGGCCCUAGGGUUGUAAAGCUCUUUCACCGGUGAAGAUAAUGACGGUAACCGGAGAAGAAGCCCCGGCUAACUUCGUGCCAGCAGCCGCGGUAAUAC